UACGUAGGGGGCUAGCGUUGUCCGGAAUCAUUGGGCGUAAAGCGCGCGUAGGCGGCCCGGUAAGUCCGUUGUGAAAGUCAAAGGCUCAACCUUUGAAAGCCGAUGGAUACUGCCGGGCUGGAGUCCGGAAGAGGCGAGUGGAAUUCCUGGUGUAGCGGUGGAAUGCGCAGAUAUCAGGAGGAACACCUGUGGCGAAAGCGGCUCACUGGACCACAACUGACGCUGAUGCACGAAAGCUAGGGGAGCAAACAGG
rnacentral:rRNA from 1 species